rnacentral:rRNA from 1 species
AACCCGACUACAUGAAGCUGGAAUCGCUAGUAAUCGCAGAUCAGAAUGCUGCGGUGAAUACGUUCCCGGGUCUUGUACACACCGCCCGUCACACCAUGGGAGUCGGAAAUGCCCGAAGCCGGUGACCCAACCAAAAGGAGGGAGCCGUCGAAGGCAGGUCUGAUAACUGGGGUGAAGUCGUAACAAGGUACC